AUUGAACGCUGGCGACAUGCCUUACACAUGCAAGUCGAACGGCAGCACGGGUGCUUGCACCUGGUGGCGAGUGGCGAACGGGUGAGUAAUACAUCGGAACAUGUCCUGUAGUGGGGGAUAGCCCGGCGAAAGCCGGAUUAAUACCGCAUACGAUCUACGGAUGAAAGCGGGGGACCUUCGGGCCUCGCGCGAUAGGGUUGGCCGAUGGCUGAUUAGCUAGUUGGUGGGGUAAAGGCCUACCAAGGCGACGAUCAGUAGCUGGUCUGAGAGGACGACCAGUCACACUGGAACUGAGACACGGCCCAGACUCCUACGGGAGGCAGCAGUGGGGAAUUUUGGACAAUGGGCGAAAGCCUGAUCCAGCAAGGCCGCGUGUGUGAAGAAGGCCUUCGGGUUGUAAAGCACUUUUGUCCGGAAAGAAAUCCUUGGCCCUAAUACGGUCGGGGGAUGACGGUACCGGAAGAAUAAGCACCGGCUAACUACGUG
rnacentral:rRNA from 1 species